UGAGGCUUUCAGCCCCCGAGUUGUAAUUUGAAGAUGGUGUUCUGGCGCCGGCCCCCUGUCUACGUUCCUUGGAACAGGACAUCACAGAGGGUGAGAAUCCCGUCUGGCGGGGCGGCCUGGCUCCGUGUAGAGCGCCAUCGACGAGUCGAGUUGUUUGGGAAUGCAGCUCUAAGUGGGUGGUAAAUUCCAUCUAAAGCUAAAUAUUGGCGAGAGACCGAUAGCGAACAAGUACAGUGAUGGAAAGAUGAAAAGAACUUUGAAAAGAGAGUGAAAAAGUACGUGAAAUUGUUGAAAGGGAAGGGUAUUGGAUCAGACUUGGUGCUGUGCGAAUAGCGGCUCUUCUUGGGCCGCCCACUCGCACUCCACCGGGCCAGCAUCGGUUUGGGCGGCAAGACAAUGGCGGGGGAACGUGGCACUGCUCUCGGGCAGUGUGUUUAUAGCCCCCGCUGAUGUUGCCUGCCUAGACCGAGGACUGCGGCUUCUGCCUAGGAUGCUGGCGUAAUGAUCCAACACCGCCCGUCUUGAAACAUGGACCAAGGAGUCUAACGUCUAUGCGAGUGUUUGGGUGUAAAACCCGUACGCGUAAUGAAAGUGAACGUAGGUGAGGGCCCUUUCUGGGUGCAUCAUCGACCGAUCCUGAUGUCUUCGGAUGGAUUUGAGUAAGAGCAUAGCUGUUGGGACCCGAAAGAUGGUGAACUAUGCCUGAAUAGGGUGAAGCCAGAGGAAACUCUGGUGGAGGCUCGUAGCGGUUCUGACGUGCAAAUCGAUCGUCGAAU
rnacentral:rRNA from 1 species